CCCUUAGAUGUCCUGGGCCGCACGCGCGCUACACUGAUGCAUUCAACGAGUCUAUCCUUGACCGACAGGUCCGGGUAAUCUUUGAAUCUGCAUCGUGACGGGGAUAGAUUAUUGCAAUUAUUAAUCUUCAACGAGGAAUGCCUAGUAGGCGCAAGUCAUCAGCUUGCGUCGAUUACGUCCCUGCCCUUUGUACACACCGCCCGUCGCUCCUACCGAUUGGGUGUGCUGGUGAAAUGUUCGGAUCGGCCGUUUGUCGCGGUUUCCGCGUCAUGUGGCUGAGAAGUUCAUUAAACCCUCCCACCUAGAGGAAGGAGAAGUCGUAACA
rnacentral:rRNA from 1 species